GUAAACGAUGUCUACUUGGAGGUUGUGCCCUUGAGGUGUGGCUUCCGGAGCUAACGCGUUAAGUAGACCGCCUGGGGAGUACGGCCGCAAGGUUAAAACUCAAAUGAAUUGACGGGGGCCCGCACAAGCGGUGGAGCAUGUGGUUUAAUUCGAUGCAACGCGAAGAACCUUACCUGGUCUUGACAUCCACAGAAGAAUCCAGAGAUGGAUUUGUGCCUUCGGGAACUGUGAGACAGGUGCUGCAUGGCUGUCGUCAGCUCGUGUUGUGAAAUGUUGGGUUAAGUCCCGCAACGAGCGCAACCCUUAUCCUUUGUUGCCAGCGGUCCGGCCGGGAACUCAAAGGAGACUGCCAGUGAUAAACUGGAGGAAGGUGGGGAUGACGUCAAGUCAUCAUGGCCCUUACGACCAGGGCUACACACGUGCUACAAUGGCGCAUACAAAGAGAAGCGACCUCGCGAGAGCAAGCGGACCUCAUAAAGUGCGUCGUAGUCCGGAUUGGAGUCUGCAACUCGACUCCAUGAAGUCGGAAUCGCUAGUAAUCGUGGAUCAGAAUGCCACGGUGAAUACGUUCCCGGGCCUUGUACACACCGCCCGUCACACCAUGGGAGUGGGUUGCAAAAGAAGUAGGUAGCUUAACCUUCGGGAGGGCGCUUACCACUUUGUGAUUCAUGACUGGGGUGAAGUCGUAACAAGGUAACCGUAGGGGAACCUGC
rnacentral:rRNA from 1 species